UACAGAGGUCUCAAGCGUUGUUCGGAUUCAUUGGGCGUAAAGGGUGUGUAGGUGGCGCCGUAAGUCGGGUGUGAAAUUUCGGAGCUUAACUCCGAAACUGCAUUCGAUACUGCGGUGCUUGAGGACUGGAGAGGAGACUGGAAUUCAUGGUGUAGCAGUGAAAUGCGUAGAGAUCAUGAGGAAGACCAGUGGCGAAGGCGGGUCUCUGGACAGUUCCUGACACUGAGACACGAAGGCCCAGGGGGAGCAAACGGG
rnacentral:rRNA from 1 species